CGCACUCUCGUUUAGAUUGAAGGAGCUUGCUCCUGAUUGAUAAACAUUUGAGUGAGUGGCGGACGGGUGAGUAACACGUGGGUAACCUGCCCUAAAGUGGGGGAUAACAUUUGGAAACAGAUGCUAAUACCGCAUAAAACCUAACACCGCAUGGUGUAGGGUUGAAAGAUGGUUUCGGCUAUCACUUUAGGAUGGACCCGCGGUGCAUUAGUUAGUUGGUGAGGUAAAGGCUCACCAAGACCGUGAUGCAUAGCCGACCUGAGAGGGUAAUCGGCCACACUGGGACUGAGACACGGCCCAGACUCCUACGGGAGGCAGCAGUAGGGAAUCUUCCACAAUGGACGAAAGUCUGAUGGAGCAACGCCGCGUGAGUGAAGAAGGUUUUCGGAUCGUAAAACUCUGCUGUUGGAGAAGAAUGUAUCUGAUAGUAACUGAUCAGGUAGUGACGGUAUCCAACCAGAAAGCCACGGCUAACUACGUGCCAGCAGCCGCGGUAAUACGUAGGUGGCAAGCGUUGUCCGGAUUUAUUGGGCGUAAAGCGAGCGCAGGCGGUUUCUUAAGUCUGAUGUGAAAGCCUUCGGCUCAACCGAAGAAGUGCAUCGGAAACUGGGAAACUUGAGUGCAGAAGAGGACAGUGGAACUCCAUGUGUAGCGGUGAAAUGCGUAGAUAUAUGGAAGAACACCAGUGGCGAAGGCGGCUGUCUGGUCUGUAACUGACGCUGAG
rnacentral:rRNA from 1 species